GCAAACUUGGUCAUUUAGAGGAAGUAAAAGUCGUAACAAGGUUUCCGUAGGUGAACCUGCGGAAGGAUCAUUACAGAAAUAAACUUGAUGGGUUGUAGCUGAUUCUAUUACAGAGUAUUGUGCACACCUGUCAUUUUUAUCUUUCCACCAUGUGAACCUUGCAUAGGUCUGAAAAUCAAAGUUUACUUUGAUGUAGUGGGAACUGCUGUUUGUAUGAAUAACAGCUUUUUUUGUCUUCAGGUCCUAUGAUUUUUUAAUAUACACCAUGUAUGUUGAAGAACGUUUUGGAAGGCUUAUCAAGGCCUAUAAAUUUAAUACAACUUUCAGCAACGGAUCUCUUGGCUCUCGCAUCGAUGAAGAACGCAGC
rnacentral:misc_RNA from 1 species